rnacentral:rRNA from 1 species
UACGUAGGGUGCGAGCGUUAAUCGGAAUUACUGGGCGUAAAGGGUGCGUAGGCGGCCGUGCAAGUCUGGCGUGAAAGCCCCGGGCUCAGCCCGGGAAGUGCGCUCGAAACUGCGCGGCUCGAGUGCCGGAGGGGAGAGUGGAAUUCCUGGUGUAGCGGUGAAAUGCGUAGAUAUGACACAGAACACCGAUUGCGAAGGCAGCUCUCAAAACUGUAACUGACGCUGAGGCACGAAAGCGUGGGUAUCAAACAGG